rnacentral:rRNA from 1 species
UGGCGGCGUGCCUAACACAUGCAAGUCGAACGAGAAAGUGGAGCAAUCCAUGAGUACAGUGGCGUACGGGUGAGUAUCACGUGACUAACCUACCCUCGAGUGGGGAAUAACUUCGGGAAACCGAGGCUAAUACCGCAUAAUGUCUGACCAAAUGCGCAAGCAGCUUGAGGAGGGGGUCGCGGCUGAUUAGCUUGUUGGCGGGGUAACGGCCCACCAAGGCAAUGAUCAGUAGCCGGCCUGAGAGGGCGCACGGCCACACUGGAACUGAAACACGGUCCAGACUCCUACGGGAGGCAGCAGUGGGGAAUUUUGCGCAAUGGGGGAAACCCUGACGCAGCAACGCCGCGUGGAGGAUGAAGCCCCUUGGGGUGUAAACUCCUUUCGAUCGGGACGAUUAUGACGGUACCGGAUGAAGAAGCACCGGCUAACUCUGUGCCAGCAGCCGCGGUAAUACGGGGGGGGCAAGCGUUGUUCGGAAUUACUGGGCGUAAAGGGCUCGUAGGUGGCCAACUAAGUCAGACGUGAAAUCCCUCGGCUUAACCGGGGAACUGCGUCUGAUACUGGAUGGCUUGAGGUUGGGAAGAGGGAUGCGGAAUUCCAGGUGUAGCGGUGAAAUGCGUAGAUAUCUGGAGGAACACCGGUGGCGAAGGCGGCAUCCUGGACCAAUUCUGACGCUGAGGAGCGAAAGCCGAGGGGAGCAAACGGGAUUAGAUACCCCGGUAGUCCUGGCCCUAAACGAUGAAAGGCUUGGUGGGGCGGGUAUCGAUCCCUGCCGUGCCGAAACUAACGAAU